AAUGAACGCUGGCGGCAUGCCUUACACAUGCAAGUCGAACGGCAGCAUGACCUAGCUUGCUAGGUUGAUGGCGAGUGGCGGACGGGUGAGUAAUGCAUCGGAACGUGCCUGUUGGUGGGGGAUAACUUAUCGAAAGUUACGCUAAUACCGCAUAUUGUCGGAGGAGGAAAGCGGGGGACCUUCGGGCCUUUCGCUAGCAGAGCUGCCCAUGUCGGAUUAGCUAGUUGGUGAGGUAAUGGCUCACCAAGGCAACGAUCCGUAGCUGGUCUGAGAGGAUGAUCAGCCACACUGGAACUGAGACACGGCCCAGACUCCUACGGGAGGCAGCAGUGGGGAAUUUUGGACAAUGGGCGCAAGCCUGAUCCAGCCAUGCCGCGUGAGUGAAGAAGGCCUUCGGGUUGUAAAGCUCUUUCGGCUGGGAAGAAAGCGCACCACCUAAUACAGGGUGUGGAUGACGGUACCAGCAGAAGAAGCACCGGCUAACUACGUG
rnacentral:rRNA from 1 species